rnacentral:RNase_P_RNA from 18 species
GAAGUUGGCCAGACGAUCGCGGUAUUCCCUGUUUCAGGGGGUACGGAGGAAAGUCCGGGCUCCAUAGGGCAGGGUGCCAGGUAACGCCUGGGGGGUGUGAGCCCACGGAAAGUGCAGCAGAAAGGAAACCGCCUUUCUCCAAGACCGCUCAGGGCUGUUAAUGCAAUGGCUCGGACGUCUUGGCAGGACCUCUCAACGAUGUCCUGUGAAGGGUAAGGGUGAAAAGGUGCGGUAAGAGCGCACCGCGCGGCUGGUAACAGGCGCGGCGAUGGUAAACCCCACCUGGAGCAAGACCAAAUAGGAAUCCACCAGCUGCGGCCCGCAGUGGAUUCGGGUAGGUCGCUAGAGGCGGGCGGCGACGCUCGUCCCAGAUGAAUGAUCGUUCUCGACAGAACCCGGCUUAUCGGCCAACUUCUUUA